rnacentral:rRNA from 1 species
AUCUGGCCUCAAAUCAGGUAGGACUACCCGCUGAACUUAAGCAUAUCAAUAAGCGGAGGAAAAGAAACUAACAAGGAUUCCCCUAGUAACGGCGAGUGAAGCGGGAAGAGCUCAAAUUUGAAAUCUGGUAGCCUUCGGUUGCCCGAGUUGUAAUCUAGAGAAGUGUUUUCCGUGCCGGCCCAUGUACAAGUCCCUUGGAACAGGGCGUCAUAGAGGGUGAGAAUCCCGUCCUUGACAUGGACCCCCGGUGCUUUGUGAUACACUUUCAACGAGUCGAGUUGUUUGGGAAUGCAGCUCAAAAUGGGUGGUGAAUUCCAUCUAAAGCUAAAUAUUGGCGAGAGACCGAUAGCGAACAAGUACCGUGAGGGAAAGAUGAAAAGCACUUUGGAAAGAGAGUUAAACAGUACGUGAAAUUGUUGAAAGGGAAACGAUUGAAGUCAGUCAUGCUCUUGGGACUUACCUCCCUUGAGUGGGGUCAACAUCAGUUUUGAUCGAUGGAUAAAGGCACGGGGAAGGUAGCACUCUCGGGUGAACUUAUAGCCUCGCGUCAUAUACAUUGAUUGGGACUGAGGAACGCAGCAUGCCUUAUGGCCGGGAUUCGUCCACGUACAUGCUUAGGA